CCCUGAAGGAACGUUGAAGACGACGACGUUGAUAGGCCGGGUGUGUAAGCGCAGCGAUGCGUUGAGCUAACCGGUACUAAUGAACCGUGAGGCUUAACCUUACAACGCCGAAG
rnacentral:rRNA from 1 species